rnacentral:rRNA from 1 species
GAUGAACGCUGGCGGCGUGCCUAAUACAUGCAAGUCGAGCGAAUGGAUUAAGAGCUUGCUCUUAUGAAGUUAGCGGCGGACGGGUGAGUAACACGUGAGUAACCUGCCCAUAAGACUGGGAUAACUCCGGGACACCGGGGCUAAUACCGGAUAACAUUUUGAACCGCAUGGUUCGAAAUUGAAAGGCGGCUUCGGCUGUCACUUAUGGAUGGACCCGCGUCGGAUUAGCUAGUUGGUGAGGUAACGGCUAACCAAGGCAACGAUGCGUAGCCGACCUGCGAGGGUGAUCGGCCCAACAGGGACUGAGACACGGGCCAGACUCCUACGGGAGGCAGCAGUAGGGAAUCUUCAGCAAUGGACGAAAGUCUGACGGAGCAACGCCGCGUGAGUGAUGAAGGCUCUCGGGUCGUAAAACUCUGUUGUUAGGGAAGAACAAGUGCUAGUUGAAUAAGCUGGCACCUUGACGGUACCUAACCAGAAAGCCACGGCUAACUACGUGCCAGCCGCCGCAGUAA